rnacentral:rRNA from 1 species
UACAGAGGUCCCAAGCGUUGUUCGGAUUCACUGGGCGUAAAGGGUGCGUAGGCGGCCGGGUAAGUCUGAUGUGAAAUCCCGCAGCUCAACUGCGGAACUGCAUCGGAUACUCUCCGGCUAGAGGAAUGGAGGGGAGACUGGAAUUCUCGGUGUAGCAGUGAAAUGCGUAGAUAUCGAGAGGAACACCAGUGGCGAAGGCGAGUCUCUGGACAUUUCCUAAUGCUGAGGCACGAAAGCCAGGGGAGCAAACGGG